GACGAACGCUGGCGGCGUGCUUAACACAUGCAAGUCGAACGGUGAAGGGACCGGUUUUUGCUGGUUCUGGAUGAGUGGCGAACGGGUGAGUAACACGUGAGUAACCUGCCCCCUUCUUCUGGAUAACCGCAUGAAAGUGUGGCUAAUACGGGAUAUUCUGCGCCUGCUGCAUGGUGGGUGUGGGAAAGAUAUUGUUUCGGUGGGGGAUGGGCUCGCGGCCUAUCAGCUUAUUGGUGGGGUGAUGGCCUACCAAGGCGGUGACGGGUAGCCGGCCUGAGAGGGUGGACGGUCACACUGGGACUGAGACACGGCCCAGACUCCUACGGGAGGCAGCAGUGGGGAAUAUUGCACAAUGGGCGCAAGCCUGAUGCAGCGACGCCGCGUGAGGGAUGGAGGCCUUCGGGUUGUAAACCUCUUUCGCCAGUGAAGCAGGCCUGUCCCUUUUGUGGGUGGGUUGACGGUAGCUGGAUAAGAAGCGCCGGCUAACUACGUG
rnacentral:rRNA from 1 species